rnacentral:lncRNA from 1 species
GGGGGAAUAGCUUCUCAUUCAGUUCAGCUGGAACAAAGAGUUCAGGAAGAAGAGUGGAACGAGAUAAGGCUGGAAAUGUAGGCAGGAGCCAGAUUGUGGGAUGAUGAAUUAAUAACUGAUGACUAACGUACAUGUUGCUCCAAUAUCCCUUUAUACUAAGGGGUUGUAUUUGUGGCUACAGAGGCUGUUGCCACUAGCCUAGAUGAGAGCAGCAGACCAUCUCCUGUGCAACUUCCUGGAGAUCAUCAAUUAGCAUGUUUUUUGCUCUCAGAACCUUUUUACACUCUUAAAAUUUGUCUAGAACUCCCUCCCCAAAGUUUUUGUUCAUGUGGGUUACAUUUCACAAUAUUGACCUACUCGAAAUGAAAAUAUCUCAGUAUUAUUACAAAAACAGUUUUGACCUUGCAGAACCCUCAAAAGCAUCUUAGCAUCAGGGGUCUCCAGACCACACUGUGAAAAUUGCUGCAUUGGGGCAUCUAGGUGGCUCAGGGGAGAGAUAAGGCAACAAGCCUGGAGACAGGAGGUCCUGGGUUCAAGUUUGCCCUCAAAUACUUGGGCAAGACACUUAACCUCCAUUGCCUAGUCAUUACUGCUCUUCUUCUUGGAACCAAUACUUCAUAUCAACUCAAGACAGAAGGGCUCUAUUAUGAAGAUGAUGGAAAUGACUGAUUUCAUAUAAUCAAAUGAGCCCCAGCUGUGACCAGGGCCAGGGGCCAUCAACACUUCUCUCUGCACACCCAAAGGAGCCAAGGAACAGAUGGUGGCAGGUGAUCUCCAGGAGCAGCUGAUCUGAGAGAAGAGUUCCCCAAAGGUAGAAAGGCUCAGAUGCAUCCACCAGGCUAACUACCCAGGAAGCUGUCCCCAAGCCUCUGCUAAAGGCAGGGAACUUGUGACCCU